UAGUGACCAACUUUGAAUAUUUAUCACCUUACCAAUCCCACAUUAGUAUUCUCUUAUUCUAUCAAAUCCAAUCUUUUACCCAAACCAUUCAAGUAGCAAGCAUGAACACAACUACUUUUACAAAUGUAGCAAAACAUGACUGAAUAUCUGAUUAUAGUUUCUACAUAUUAGCAAAGU